rnacentral:rRNA from 1 species
GCCUACGGGGGGCAGCAGUGGGGAAUAUUGCGCAAUGGGCGAAAGCCUGACGCAGCGGCGCCGCGUGAGGGAUGAAGGUCUUCGGAUCGUAAACCUCUGUCAGCAGGGAAGAACGGUCACUGUGCUAAUCAGCAGUGAAUUGACGGUACCUGCAAAGGAAGCACCGGCUAACUCCGUGCCAGCAGCCGCGGUAAUACGGAGGGUGCGAGCGUUAAUUGGAAUUACUGGGCGUAAAGCGCUCGUAGGCGGUAUGUCAAGUCAAGGGUGAAAUCCCCGCGCUCAACGUGGGAACUGCCUUUGAAACU